AUCAUCACGAUCAAUGCGUCAUAUUUUCAUAAGUCAUUUCCCCAUAACCAUCCACACCCAACUAUUCUGUAAGGGUCCAAGGGCGCUCAUGUCCGAGAGCACGGCUAGUAUACCAGUUUGAUCAAACUCUACACAGAGGUGUGCACUUUUCUCGUAAGUCGUGUUAUCCAUAUGCCCGGGGUUUGCAAGACCCACUAACACUGCUAAGGUGAGCGG
rnacentral:lncRNA from 1 species